rnacentral:sRNA from 1 species
ACACAAAACACAAAAAAAACUA